rnacentral:lncRNA from 1 species
AGGAAGAUAGGGGAGAGAGAAGAAUAGAGGGGGAAAGGGAAAUAGGUGGGUUGGGUUGAAGGGGGAGGAGUAGUUGUGGACAAAGACCAAAAGAAUUGGGCUCUGUGGGUGAUGGUCAGAAGAAAUCAGGUGGCAUGUGGGGGAGGAGGAGAGAUGGGUUUACUUUUUAAAUUUUAUUUUGUUAAAAUGUGGUUUUUUAUAUUUUUAUUUUUAAUUAUUGGAAUAUUUAAUUAUAUUUUUAUCUAUGUGGAGGUGGACUCCACUUACCAUGUCAUCAAAGUUAGCAUACUUUUGGAUAGAGUUGACGGCAUGGGUCAAAGUGAGUCACUAAACCUCAGUUAAGGGAUGAAUGAAAGUGGGCCAUUUUGAGUUUGAAAU